rnacentral:rRNA from 1 species
UACGUAGGGUGCGAGCGUUAAUCGGAAUUACUGGGCGUAAAGGGUGCGCAGGCGGCUCUGUAAGUCAGAUGUGAAAUCCCCGGGCUUAACCUGGGAAUUGCGUUUGAAACUACAGGGCUAGAGUGUAGCAGAGGGGGGUGGAAUUCCAUGUGUAGCAGUGAAAUGCGUAGAGAUAUGGAAGAACAUCGAUGGCGAAGGCAGCCCCCUGGGUUAACACUGACGCUCAGGCACGAAAGCGUGGGGAGCAAACAGG